GAAAGCGUCAUAAUUUUGUAUUCUCUGCCUUCACUCACGUCGCAUCGUGUUAUAGCAAAGGCAACUUCAAAGUCUCGUGUUCGCAACCUUUACAUCUAUCGGUGAGUAUUUUAACAAACUAAAGUUUUAUAUGAUCAAUCUCUUUGAAUUUUAGUUAGGUUUUGUUCGACUGUUCUACCGGAAAUGAGAGUUUCAUUGUUUUUGUUA
rnacentral:lncRNA from 1 species